AAUAAACAUGGCCCUAUAAUGCUGGCAUCUCUGCCAUUGGCCGUAUCUAUAUGAGGAGCAUUGCUUCAAGCGUUGAUUUUAUGGGUAACACCAUUUUCGCAGCUGGGCCACCCUAGUUCUAUAACUCCCAUUUUGAUUGGCCAAUUCAAAUAAAAUUUUGUUUGGAGCUUAUCAACACCUUGCUACUUACCGCUUCCCUGAAUUAUUGGGGGGGCACCUCCAUUUUGAAUAUUUUGGUCCAGGAAUUUGUAUCAUCUGCUGAAAUGUUUUCCCCUUAUGUUAGUGCAUUGAAUCUUUGCUUUUGCCUUUUAUGUAUCUUUUUUUGUUCUUUUAAAGAGGGAAGAUUAGACAUGAUGGUAGGCAUUACCCACGUUAACACUGCCACCUGUUCUUUUCAAUUGCUUCUAACCAUCAAUUUAAUGGUGCAUCACUCAAUGUUAUUGUAAUUACGUAAAUGGGAGGGCUCUUUCUGCUGUGA